rnacentral:rRNA from 1 species
UCGAUUCGAUUUACCUUCGGGUAAUGAGGAUGGCGGACGGGUGAGUAACGCGUAAGGAACUUGCCUCUUGGUCUGGGACAACUGUUGGAAACGACAGCUAAUACCGGAUAUUAUGAGAUUCUCGCAUGGGAAACUUAUGAAAGCUAUAUGCGCCAAGAGAGAGCCUUGCGUUCCAUUAGCUAGUUGGUGGGGUAACGGCCCACCAAGGCGACGAUGGAUAGCCGGCCUGAGAGGGUGAACGGCCACAAGGGGACUGAGACACGGCCCUUACUCCUACGGGAGGCAGCAGUGGGGAAUAUUGGACAAUGGGCCACAAGCCUGAUCCAGCAAUUCUGUGUGCACGAUGAAGGUCUUCGGAUUGUAAAGUGCUUUCAGUUGGGAAGAAGAAAGUGACGGUACCAACAGAAGAAGCGACGGCUAAAUACGUGCCAGCAGCCGCGGUAAUACGUAUGUCGCAAGCGUUAUCCGGAUUUAUUGGGCGUAAAGCGCGUCUAGGCGGAAAAAUAAGUCUGAUGUUAAAAUGCGGGGCUCAACUCCGUAUUGCGUUGGAAACUGUUUUUCUAGAGUACUGGAGAGGUGGGCGGAACUACAAGUGUAGAGGUGAAAUUCGUAGAUAUUUGUAGGAAUGCCGAUGGAGAAGUCAGCUCACUGGACAGAUACUGACGCUGAAGCGCGAAAGCGUGGGGAGCAAACAGGAUUA